rnacentral:rRNA from 1 species
UCUACGGGAGGCAGCAGUAGGGAAUAUUGCUCAAUGGGGGAAACCCUGAAGCAGCAACGCCGCGUGGAUGAUGAAGGUCUUCGGAUUGUAAACUCCUUUUGUUAGAGAAGAUAAUGACGGUAUCUAACGAAUAAGCACCGGCGAACGCCGUGCCAGCAGCCGCGGUAAUACGGGGGGUGCACGCGUUACUCGGAAUGACUGGGCGUAAAGUGCGCGUAGGCGGGAUAGCAAGUCAGAUGUGAAAUCCUAUGGCUUAACCAUAGAAGUGCAUUUGAAACUGGUAUUCUAGAGUAUGGGAGAGGUAGGUGGAAUGCUUGGUGUAGGGGUGAAAUGCGUAGAGAUCAAGAGGAAUACUCAUUGCGAAGGCGACCUGCUGGAACAUAACUGACGCUGAUGCGCGAAAGCGUGGGGAGCAAACAGGAUUAGAUACCCUUGUAGUC